UAGCCAUGAUGUCUGAUUUUGCCAGAUGAAUUCUGCUGAUUAUAACCCAAACCGUUCCAUUAUUUUAUCUGAGCUA